GAAUGUAAGCUGUUUCCGUGAUUCGUACCUGACUCCUGACUUGUGAUCUUGGUUCAGGACGUACGCUGGUGGCGCUGCUUAACACAUGCAAGUCGAACGGGAGGAAAAGAGAAGCUUGCUUUUUUUUGAAUCUAGUGGCAAACGGGUGGAGUAACACGUAAACAACCUGCCUUCAGGAUGGGGACAACAGACGGAAACGACUGCUAAUACCGAAUGUGUUCCGGAGACCGCAUGAUUUCCGGAAGAAAGGAUGGCCUCUAUUUAUAAGCUAUCGCCUGAAGAGGGGUUUGCGUCUGAUUAGGCAGUUGGUGAGGUAACGGCCCACCAAACCUACGAUCAGUAGCCGGUCUGAGAGGAUGAACGGCCACACUGGAACUGAGACACGGUCCAGACUCCUACGGGAGGCAGCAGUGGGGAAUCUUCCGCAAUGGACGAAAGUCUGACGGAGCAACGCCGCGUGAGUGAUGACGGCCUUCGGGUUGUAAAGCUCUGUGAUCGGGGACGAAUGGCUGGUAUGCUAAUACCAUAUCAGAGUGACGGUACCCGAAUAGCAAGCCACGGCUAACUACGUGCCAGCAGCCGCGGUAAUACGUAGGUGGCAAGCGUUGUCCGGAAUUAUUGGGCGUAAAGCGCGCGCAGGCGGCUUCUUAAGUCCAUCUUAAAAGUGCGGGGCUUAACCCCGUGAUGGGAUGGAAACUGGGAGGCUGGAGUAUCGGAGAGGAAAGUGGAAUUCCUAGUGUAGCGGUGAAAUGCGUAGAGAUUAGGAAGAACACCGGGUGGCGAAGGCGACUUUCUGGACGACAACUGACGCUGAGGCGCGAAAGCGUGGGGAGCAAACAGGAUUAGAUACCCUGGGUAGUCCACGCCAUAAACGAUGAAUACUAGGUGUAGGAGGUAUC
rnacentral:rRNA from 1 species